CUUCCCUGCCCGCGGGGCCGUUUGGCCGCGUCUGCCGCGGGGAGCGCGCUCGUUCCUCCGGCCGUUUGGCCGCCGGCCCUCCCGCAGCCGGCCCGGUGCCCUGGCAGGGCCCGGCCCCUGCGCCCCAGGCCCCGCGGCGGGAGGGAUCUGCUGCUGGCCAGGUGUCUGCAAAGACGGGUUGCUUCUUGGAGGUACUAGUGUCAGUGCUUCUGAAAUUAGGAUGCUUUAGGCUUGAGGAGGCACUUCGGUAGGGGUAGUGUUCAAGCAAGGCCAAGAGAGAUGAGGUCAUUGGUCAAAAUUAUAGAGAAAAAGAAAUAGGACAAUGACUUCUUCUGAGAAGGACCACAGAAAGAAAUCAACAUUGAAAAGACUGCUAGAUGUACUGCCUCGUCACUGAAUGAAGAAGAAAAUCUUAGGAAUACAACAGGAAAAGAAUGGGACUGAAUAUGAAAGGAGUAAGUUGUAGUCUGAAAGUGAAACUCUCCAUCUUGAUACACUCUGGAGGACUACAGUAAGUGCUUUAUAAUUAGCUUGCAUUUAACUUGGCAUAUUUAUGGCUGUCACUGCAUGACCAGACCAAUGUAUGAGGCUUUUUGCUAAAGAGUCUCCAGAGAGAAGCAUUCAAACCUGCCAGCAACCAUGUUUCAGAGGUUUAACCUCUCUAACCUUUGUCGUUCACAUAAAGUUCUUCCUCCACACGUGCCAAAUACACCAUUCUGCUGAGUGAAUUGUAAGCCUGUCUUAGGCAAAUACUUGCUCUAUUUAAUGUGUAAUUGCAUUACUUUUUAUUUGUGGCUACCUUUUGUCUGCUUUGCUCAUAAAAGUUGCUGAAGUAUAUAACGACAUGGUAACAGAAAUGCUAAGCCUAGCUUUUGAGUUACAGAAAUCAGAUGCAGCAAGCAGAUGCUGUGUUCGUGACCAGAAGACCAUUGUAAGUUGAGGUGUGAGUGAUGAAUGCAGCAGGUUAACCUGAGCAGGCAUAGACCUGUGCUGUGAUGUGGAGAACUACAGUGUGAUUUUCUGGCCAGUGCUGUGCUGCACAGAUACCUGGGAUGCAGCAACCACCUUAGGUGGUUGAUUGUAACAGAGGAGGCUGCAGGCAGCUCCCACUUGGUGCCCCUGAUUAGACCAGCUGCACAUCCUUGCCUUUAUCUAAAACUGCAGCAACGAGUUCUCCUGUGAGCAUCCUUUUUAUCUGGCAAUAGAAAUGGUGAAUAGACUUAUUUUCUUUUAAGAAAAUCCUGAAAGAGCUUGAAUUAGCAAAAAAAAAUAAAACUGUAACUCCUCUGUGGAUGGGAUCUGAAGGCCUGUCAAUUCAGUGUUACCAGCAUCUGCAAGGACAUAAGGUUACCUGUACUACCCUCUUUUUCUCUAUAACAUUGACACUAAUAAAU